GGUUUUAUAGUGUAGUGGUUAUUACGUCUGCUUUACAUGCAGAAGGUCCUGGGUGCAAUCCCAAUAAAACCA
rnacentral:tRNA from 1 species